rnacentral:misc_RNA from 1 species
AGUCGUAACAAGGUUUCCGUAGGUGAACCUGCGGAAGGAUCAUUACAGUAGUCACCCGGGUUGCCGCAAGGCCGCUCGGGUAACCUACCACCCUUUGUUUAUUACACUUUGUUGCUUUGGCAGGCCUGCCUUCGGGCUGCUGGCUCCGGCCGGCGAGCGCUUGCCAGAGGACCUAAACUCUGUUUGUCUAUACUGUCUGAGUACUAUAUAAUAGUUAAAACUUUCAACAACGGAUCUCUUGGUUCUGGCAUCGAUGAAGAACGCAGCGAAAUGCGAUAAGUAAUGUGAAUUGCAGAAUUCAGUGAAUCAUCGAAUCUUUGAACGCACAUUGCGCCCCCUGGUAUUCCGGGGGGCAUGCCUGUCCGAGCGUCAUUACAACCCUCAAGCUCUGCUUGGUGUUGGGCCCCGCCGCCCCGGCGGGCCCUAAAGUCAGUGGCGGUGCCAUCCGGCUCCGAGCGUAGUAAUUCUUCUCGCUCUGGAGGUCCGGUUGUGUGCUUGCCAUCAACCCCCAAUUUUUUUCAGGUUGACCUCGGAUCAGGUAGGGAUACCCGCUGAACUUAAGCAUAUCAAUAAGCGGAGGAA